GGGCCUCUGGCGCAACGGUAGCGCGUUGUAAGUUCUACUAUUAAUACCUUCUGGCCUACUUUACAUAUUCUAACAAUAUCAUCAGCGACUCCAGAUCGAAAGGUUAUCCGUUCAAAUCGGGUGGGGCUCA